AAACUUAACUGAUAUUGAUACAUUUAUAACCUUAUGAGUAGUAGUAGCACCAAAAACAACACCCCACAUAAAGUUCGAUUAUAAAUAUAACCAAAUUUUGUUUUUUAGGAUCGUAAGCCAAUUUUUUUUUUAGAAUAGAGCCUCUGAUUUUUACUCUGCUUUGGGUGCAUGAUGAUUACAUGAUUGAUCUUGCCACACUGCAACAAGGUUUAUACAUACAUCUGAUCCAGCUAACGUUAGAUUUUGAAAACUAUUUUAAGUUGAAGAGGAAGAAAUUCUCUCAAGGUUUAUGCAAAUCAACAACACACAUUCAAAACACUUGAGAGAGAAACAACUAAACUUCAUAAUUGUUGGGAAAGGCUUGGUUCAUUUAGGUGCUCUGGAAACAUCCUGAGAUUCAAGAAAAUGUUGAGAUAGAAACAAUGUUACAAAUGUUGAAGGAUCUGUAAGCAGCAGUGGACAAAGCCUUAUAAAGAUGCAUCGAUCCUACAGUUCAAGUGGUACUUGGUGACGUGAACUUAGUCAAUGCGGGAGAAUUUCGGUGAAUAUGCUCCAAAUAAGCACGUGCAUGUUGAAGGGUAGCCGUCGUGUGGGACUUGCACAUUUUUUCGUAUUGUUAGUUGGCUAGGAUAAUUCUAAAUUUAUAAGGGAAUAUUUGAGCUUGAUAGAGAUAAUAUACACACACAACACUCUCUGCUCGCAAACACUCUGCUAUAGCAACACUGAAACUACUCUCAAACCCGUACACUAGAAUUCACUUGGAACAAGCUCAAUAUCAUCCGAAGUUGUAUCAAAUUGUUUGUUGUUUCUUGAAUAUAGUUGGUGAUCGGUAGUUUCCA